rnacentral:tRNA from 1 species
GGGAUAUAGCUCAGUGGGUAGAGUGCUUGCUUAGCAUGCACAAGGCCCUGGGUUCAAUCCCCGGUCCCA